GGAGAGGUCACUUCGGGUGGACAAUGCACAGGUGCUGCAUGGCCGUCGUCAGCUCGUGUCGUGAGAUGUUUGGUUAAGUCCAGCAACGAGCGCAACCCCUGUGAACUGUUGCCAGCGCGUAAAGGCGGGGACUCUGUUCAGACUGCCCAGAUCAACUGGGAGGAAGGUGGGGACGACGUCAGGUCAGUAUGGCCCUUACGCCUAGGGCUGCACACGUACUACAAUGCCCAGCACAAUGAGAACCGAGACCGCAAGGUGGAGGAAAUCUGCAAAACUGGGCCCAGUUCGGAUUGGAGGCUGCAACUCGCCUCCAUGAAGUCGGAAUCGCUAGUAAUGCCGUAUCAGCUACGACGGCGUGAAUA
rnacentral:rRNA from 1 species